UAUUUGUUAUUUUUUGUAAUAAAAUGAUAAUAAGUCAUUGAACCCUUCUGUCUACUCAACUCAUAUAAAAUCAAUUUAUUUUAAAUGAAUGUAAUGGAUGUAACACAUCUCAUACUAAGUUUCAACAACGGAUCUCUUGGCUCUCGCAUCGAUGAAGAACGCAGCGAAAUGCGAUAAGUAAUGUG
rnacentral:rRNA from 1 species